GGGGGUGCCAUGGUUUCGACGGGGCACUGGACAUUGUGUGGGCGUGUCUGGGUUGAUCGGAUGGCCCAGUAAAAAUCCGAUCGAACUAUAAGUGCAGAAUCUAAUUAUGCACCUGCUAUGGCCGCUUAAUUUAAUUUAAGCCGCCGCUAAGUAGCUGAGGGGGUACACCCAAGAAACAGAACGUACCAAAGCUGCUAAGUCUUCAGUUGAACUAGGCUUUGAGAAACCGCCGGGUAAAUCUCAUAAAAAAACCACCGGGUUUUUUUCUUUUACAAAAUGAAAUAGUCUUGUCUUCUGACGAUAAACGAAGACUACGCACGUAGGCCGCACUUUGAAAAAUGUUUCGGACGUGGGUUCGAUUCCCACCACCUCCACCA
rnacentral:tmRNA from 1 species